rnacentral:rRNA from 1 species
UUUUUUUUGUCGUCAUAGUCAUAGGCUGGAGGAAAAGAAACCAACUGGGAUUACCUUAGUAACGGCGAGUGAAGCGGUAAAAGCUCAAAUUUGAAAUCUGGUACUUUCAGUGCCCGAGUUGUAAUUUGUAGAAUUUGUCUUUGAUUAGGUCCUUGUCUAUGUUCCUUGGAACAGGACGUCAUAGAGGGUGAGAAUCCCGUUUGGCGAGGAUACCUUUUCUCUGUAAGACUUUUUCGAAGAGUCGAGUUGUUUGGGAAUGCAGCUCAAAGUGGGUGGUAAAUUCCAUCUAAAGCUAAAUAUUGGCGAGAGACCGAUAGCGAACAAGUACAGUGAUGGAAAGAUGAAAAGAACUUUGAAAAGAGAGUGAAAAAGUACGUGAAAUUGUUGAAAGGGAAGGGCAUUUGAUCAGACAUGGUGUUUUUUGCAUGCACUCGCCUCUCGUGGGCUUGGGCCUCUCAAAAAUUUCACUGGGCCAACAUCAAUUCUGGCAGUAGGAUAAAUCAUUAAGAAUGUAGCUACCUCGGUAGUGUUAUAGCUUAUUGGAAUACUGCUAGCUGGGAUUGAGGACUGCGCUUCGGCAAGGAUGUUGGCAUAAUGGUUAAAUGCCGCCCGUCUUGAACACGUGAACACGACAAGAAA